GACGAACGCUGGCGGCGCGCUUAACACAUGCAAGUCGAGCGAAAAGGCGGACGGGUGAGUAACACGUGCGUAACCUGCCUUAGACAUUGGGAUAGCCUCGGGAAACCGGUAUUAAUACCAAAUGGUUUAAGAUGGACUCGGGUCCCAUUAGUUAGUUGGUGAGGUAACGGCCCACCAAGGCGCCGAUGGGUAGCCGGCCUGAGAGGGUGAACGGCCACAUGGGAACUGAGAAACGGUCCAAACUCUACGGGAGGCAGCAGUGGGGAAGAUUGCACAAUGGAGGGAUCUCUGAUGCAGCGACGCCGCGUGAACGAAGAAGGCUUUCGAGUCGUAAAGUUCUUUUAUAUGGGAAGCGGUACCAUAAGAAAAAGCCCCGGCUAACUACGUGCCAGCAGCCGCGGUAAUAC
rnacentral:rRNA from 1 species